ACUCCUACGGGAGGCAGCAGUGGGGAAUAUUGCACAAUGGGGGAAACCCUGAUGCAGCCAUGCCGCGUGUGUGAAGAAGGCCUUCGGUUGUAAAGCACUUUCAGUAGGGAGGAAGGUAGUGUAGUUAACACCUGCAUUAUUUGACGUUACCUACAGAAGAAGCACCGGCUAACUCCGUGCCAGCAGCCGCGGUAAUACGGAGGGUGCGAGCGUUAAUCGGAAUUACGUGGGCGUAAAGCGCAUGCAGGCGGCCUGUUAAGUCAGAUGUGAAAGCCCGGGGCUUAACCUCGGAAUUGCAUUUGAAACUGGCAGGCUAGAGUCUUGUAGAGGGGUUAGAAUUUCAGGUGUAGCGGUGAAAUGCGUAGAGAUCUGAAGGAAUACCGAGUGGCGAAGGCGGCCCCUGGACAAAGACUGACGCUCAGAUGCGAAAGCGUGGGAGCAAACGAGGAUUAGAUACCCCUGGUAGACUGUCA
rnacentral:rRNA from 1 species